CAGCCGCCGCGGUAAUACGUAGGUGGCGAGCGUUGUCCGGAAUUAUUGGGCGUAAAGCGAGCGCAGGCGGUUAGAUAAGUCUGAAGUUAAAGGCUGUGGCUUAACCAUAGUACGCUUUGGAAACUGUUUAACUUGAGUGCAAGAGGGGAGAGUGGAAUUCCAUGUGUAGCGGUGAAAUGCGUAGAUAUAUGGAGGAACACCGGUGGCGAAAGCGGCUCUCUGGCUUGUAACUGACGCUGAGGCUCGAAAGCGUGGGGAGCAAACAGGAUUAGAUACCCCAGUAGUCCCUGUCUCUUAUACA
rnacentral:rRNA from 1 species